CAGUCGCCGCGGUAAUACGGAGGGUGCAAGCGUUAAUCGGAAUUACUGGGCGUAAAGCGCACGCAGGCGGUCUGACAAGUCAGAUGUGAAAUCCCCGGGCUUAACCUGGGAACUGCAUUUGAAACUGUCAGGCUGGAGUCUUGUAGAGGGGGGUAGAAUUCCAGGUGUAGCGGUGAAAUGCGUAGAGAUCUGGAGGAAUACCGGUGGCGAAGGCGGCCCCCUGGACAAAGACUGACGCUCAGGUGCGAAAGCGUGGGGAGCAAACAGGAUUAGAUACCCGAGUAGUCCUUGUCUCUUAUAA
rnacentral:rRNA from 1 species